GGGCUCGAACGGCUAUGGAAUUACAUAGAGAUAUGUAAGUCUGCAAAGACUGUAGUCGAGGUGCUGCAUGGUUGUCGUCAGCUCGUGCCGUGAGGUGUCGGCUUAAGUGCCAUAACGAGCGCAACCCCUGUUGCCAGUUACCAUCAAGUAGUGUUGGGGACUCUGGCGAGACUGCCGCCGUAAGGUGAGAGGAAGGUGGGGAUGACGUCAAAUCAGCACGGCCCUUACGUCCGGGGCGACACACGUGUUACAAUGGGCCAUACAGAGGGCAGCGAGGUAGUGAUGCCGAGCAAAUCUCCAAAGUGGUUCUCAGUUCGGAUUGGAGUCUGCAACUCGACUCCAUGAAGUUGGAUUCGCUAGUAAUCGCGCAUCAGCCAUGGCGCGGUGAAUACGUUCCCGGGCCUUGUACACACCGCCCGUCAAGCCAUGGAAGCUGGGGGUGCCUGAAGGUUGUGACCGCAAGGAGCGAUCUAGGGCAAAACCGGUAACUGGGGCUAAGUCGUAACAAAGUAGCCG
rnacentral:rRNA from 1 species